rnacentral:rRNA from 1 species
CGGGAGGGUGAGUAAUGUCUAGGGAAACUGCCGAUGGAGGGGGAUAACUACUGGAAACGGUAGCUAAUACCGCAUAACGUCGCAAGACCAAAGAGGGGGACCUUCGGGCCUCUUGCCAUCGGAUGUGCCCAGAUGGGAUUAGCUAGUAGGUGGGGUAACGGCUCACCUAGGCGACGAUCCCUAGCUGGUCUGAGAGGAUGACCAGCCACACUGGAACUGAGACACGGUCCAG